GGGAGGACCUGGCCGUGGCCCACCUCUCUGCACACAUUCUGCUUUGACGCUUUCUCUCCUCUGCUCUCCUCUACAGAUUGUCUCUCUCCUCUCUGUCUUUCUCCUCUUCUCCAUUGUGUCUCUCUCCCCAUUCUCCUCUCUCUCCUCUCUGUCUCUCUCCCCUCCACCUCCUCCGGUUGCUUCCAUCGCCCCCUACCUUGACUCCGACGCCGACGUCGCCGAUGCUCCUCUGCCUCCCUCUCGCGACGUCUGCUUUGCUCUCUCCUCUCUCUGCCCUUCGCAAAGUCGUGCCUCUCUUCCAGCAAAACAUGACGCCGACGGCCCUCCGCCUUCGCCUCUACCUCCGCCGGUUGCCUCCGUUGCCCUCGACUUUGAUGCCGACGCCCCUCCGCCGGUUGCCUCUGUCAGUGUCAGAUUUCAUCACCCUUAACUCUGACGCCUCCGCCUCCGCCUCCGCCUAUGCGCCCGAUGCUGACGCCGAAGCAAGUUAAAUAAUUUGAUUACAUUUGAACUGAGAUGACCUAAUUGGGUGGUGUAGUGCGUGCGUGCGUGCGUGCCGCCAAACUAAUGACAAACACUAUAUAGGUACAUCUCUUGGAAUUUCUCUAAUAGGACCACACAAUUCGCAUUUUCAGACGCACGAUCUUUGUGUCAUGAUUAUGUUUUAUGGAGAGUAAGUUAUUCUCUUUUCAGCAAUUAAAGCAGAUUGGACAUAUCUAUCAAAAGCUGAGUUCUCUAUAACAUCUUAUUAUAACAUAGUCUACUUUUACAGGAUGCAGACUAGUUUACAGGAACACCAUGCUAAUCUUUAAUCAAUUCCGUGCCACCGAACCUGAAUAUAUUUCACUUUCGGAGAAGAGAAGGGUUGUUAAAAAUGAAUUCAAAUGUAUUUGAACAGAGAUGAAGAGGUAGGAGAAGAGAAGGGUUGUUAGAAAUGAAUUCAAAUGAAUUUGAACAGAGAUGAAGAGGGUCCUACCUAUCAAGCAAUCCAAGAGGAGAAGUUGCAGUAAUGGUAGGGGCUGAUUUUUGAAGGCAUGGCUAUAGCCCCUUUCAUCGUUUUGUCUGGUAAGAGGGUAAUUAGUCCAUAAUUCUUAACAAAGGUCUGAGUAUAUCGAAAUUAAAAUGAUAGCGAUACUCCAGAGAAAUAGAAAAGACAUAUAGCCACAUAUCUAAUACGGUAUGAAAUCAUUUGACAAAAAGUUGAAAAUAUACAUGACAGCGCAAUUGCAAAGAUGAAAAAAAAAGGACAACUAGUUUGGCUGAUUUAGCUGGCCUAGGUUGGGUUUGGCCGGCUUUGACCAAAUAUUUCUGUCUAAUUAAAGGGAAAUGGGCUAAUUUGAAAGGAAACGGUCCAAAUUCGAUCAAAUUAUAUUAAUUAAAUCAUUUAUGCUGAUGAUAUACGUUGCACUUUAGAUGUCGCACGUUGAGAGUCUUAGUGUUUUCAAGUUGAGCAUGAUUAUACAUGUUUUUGGAGUUCACCUUUAAUUAGACAUUUAUGUCGAGUAUAUUGAUUUAGCUCUCAUUGAUCGGAGGAAUAUUGCCGAGGCUCCGGGAUUGUCUGUGAUCCAGCAUUUGGUGGGGUUUUGGAUAUAACAAGCUGCACCAAUCGGGUAUGAUAUAUUAAUCUAUAUUGAUUUAGUUUUGCUCAUUGUUUUCAUUUUCUGGGAUGGUUUAGGAUUGGAUAUAUCAAGUCGCACCAAUCGGGCACUGGAUAUUAAACAAACAGUUUUUUUUAUCCUGCAAGUAGAGUAGAACACAUGCAUGUCUAUUUUUCCAAAUCCUAAACUAUCAUUGGAAAAUGAAAACAAUGAGCAAAAUUGAACUAAUAUAAUUAAUAUCCAGUAUCGAUUGGUGCAGCUUGAUAUAUCUACAACUUAGUCAAAUGCUGGAUCACAACCAAUCUCAGAGCCGCUGUCAUUCCUCCAAUUGAAAGCUGAACUGAUAGACGUGGCAUAUAUGUUAAUUAAAGGUGAACUCCAAAAGCAUAUAUAAUCAUGCUUGUUAAUCCGAAAAUGCUAAGAUUCUCACCAUACAAAGUUUGAAGCAUAACAUAUAUCAUCAGUGUAAGGGUUUAAUUGGUUUAAUUUGGUUGAAUUUGGAUUGUCAUUAGCCCCUUUAAUUAGAUAGAAAUAUUUUACAAUUAGGUCUUAAUUGCAUAAAAAUUUGGUCAAAACUGGCCAAAACCAACUUAGGCCAGUUGAAUUAAUAAGUUUUCUGGUUAGGUCUUUUUUUUAAAUACCUUUGCAAUUUGGCUGUCAUGCAUGUUUUUGGCUUUUUGUUGGAUGAUUUCAUACUGUACUAGAUGUGUGGCUAUAUGUCAUCUCUAUGUCUUUGGAAUAUCGCGAUUAUCUUAUGAUGAUCCUAAAGAAUUGUGGAGCAGUAACUCUCCUAUAUGGGGACGAAAUGAUGGAAGAGGCUAUAGCCAUAGCUUAAAAAAAUUAGCCUCAGCCAACCAUUAUGUGACUCCUUUCUUGGAUUGUUUGAUAGCAUUGUGCGGUUUCGUCAUGUAUCAUUGAACAAAAGUUGGCAGACUCGUCAACGGGAACAUACCGUAGGUGGCAGCUGACAUGCGACGUAUCCAAUAUUUUAACUCUAUCCCACCAAGGAUCACCAAUCAACUUGAGCCUGACCCUCUCAAUCUGGGUCAUCCGAGUUAGAGCCACUCGAAGCGCCCAAUUCCCAUGUUUACUGAGACUGACGCCAAUUUUGACUUGAAGCGGAAUAAGCAAAGACCCAAAAAAGAGGCCUAAAGAUAUGGCGCGACUGCAGAUCCCCUAGCUGGUUAACGUUCAUCACGCCAUAGGCCAUUUUUAUCUUUCCAUGUUGGAAAAGGAAUGGCUGCCAGGGCUCUGGGAUUGGCUGUGAUUCAAUUUUUGUAUUAGAGGGACUACUUUAACUCGAGAGUUUGGCUCUCUGGUGGCAUACUGUACCAAUCAGGUGGCAGACACGGUCUUGCUCAUUGUUUUCAUUUUUUUGGGAUGUUUAGAACUGGAAAAAUAGACAUCACAAAUUCUUUAGUUCAAUCAUUGAUCUUGUCCUUUUGUAUAUACUUGUAUAUCAUCUUCUUCCUUUUUGCAGUUUCGCUUUUUCGUUUGCGCUCUGGUCUCCGUCGGGAAGGUGCAUACAAUUACGGAACGGUGUCUGCUCCUAUGUCCUCCAUAUAUCUCAGGAAUACCGCUGUCAUCUUAAUUGUGAUUUUUUCCACAUCGACCAUGAUCAAGAGUUUUACAGUACGCAUCCCUUCAUCUCCAUGUUCAAAAGCCGUCAGUUCCUUUCCAACCAACAAUUUUUCUCCGGUGAAGCAUGGUGCGGUGUCGUCAUAUAUCACCAGAAAUAUUUCAUCUUUGAUUCUAUAACGAAGCUCGUUGCUGACACUUGCUGAUUUAGCAACCUACAUUGCGAUAGUGAGCAAAGGACAACACAGAUUCUGCAUAGUCGAUAUCAUUUUUAUUUUUUUUUCCUUUUGACAUUAGAUGAUUAGAUGCGGGUGGAAAUCCUUUCCCUUUUGGCGUUCUUUCUGCACUUCUGCAGAGUAUUC